GAGGCACAUUAUCUUUGGAGAUCCAAGGGGGAGUGUUAUGAAAUAUUAGAUUAUGGUGGAUGUCCAUAACUCCUAUAACACCUACUACUUGUAUCCAUUAUCUCCAUAACUCCCACUACUCUAAUACUUAUGGUUGUAACUCCCACACCUCCAUGAUCUCCCCCGUGAUCUUCCUCCAUGAUCUCAAAAGCUUAAUGACAUAUUUAUGGAAUUCUUUUAGUAUACCUCUAUGUAGUACUAUAAAUAGAGGAUGAGAAUCCAUGAUCUCAAAAGCUUAAUGACAUAUUUAUGGAAUUCUUUUAGUAUACCUUUAUGUAGUACUAUAAAUAGAGGAUGAGAAAUCAUCUUGUAAUAGACUUGGAUACAUGGAAGAAAUAUAUUCUCUUCUCUAUUUCUCUCUACUUUGUUGUCUAUCUUUUGUUUAUUACUUUGAGCUA
rnacentral:lncRNA from 1 species